rnacentral:misc_RNA from 1 species
UUUUGAAUGAUACUGAUCUUUGCG